rnacentral:rRNA from 1 species
AUGCAAGAAAGGCUGCCGCUUCGCCCCAUCCGGCCAACCAAAGGUAAGGGAGGCCUUACGUCUACCAUUCAGCCGGCGAGGCUCACCACCAUCCUUAGGCUAAUGUCGUUGCUGCUCGUUUCUUGUGGAGUCGGCAGCGUCCGCUGCUCCUUCUCAACUACGACAGUCCAUGACAACAGCACGGACAUGAUCUCGCUGCUAGAUUUCAAGCGGGCCAUCACCAACGACUCAAGACAAGCCUUGAGAUCUUGGCACGGCAGCGUCCCUCUUUGCAGUUGGAACGGCGUCUUCUGCAGCGGCCCCAAGCACCCGAGGCGAGUCACCGAGCCGAACCUUAUGAACCUAUCGUUGUCGGGCAUGAUUUCACCGUCCCUCGGGAACCUAACGUCCCUUUUGAGACUGGAACUGUCCCGUAAUGGCUUCACCGGCGAGUUACCUCCUCUCAACCGUCUCCAAAGAUUGGAUUACCUUAACUUGGGAGACAACUCACUGCGAGGGAUCAUUCCGGGUACUCUUACAAACUGCUCCAAUCUACAGUACCUAUCCCUAUCUAGCAACUUACUAAUAGGAGAAGUUCCCAGCGGUAUAAACCGCCUGUCCAAUCUAGUGUUGUUGAAUCUUGCCUUCAAUAACUUGACCGGAGAAAUCCCACCAAGCCUAAAAAACAUCAAGUCGGCUUGA